CUUUAUUGCAGUUAGCUUUAGAAAUAGACGUAAAUUCGUGUGUGGUUUUGUUAAUAGUUUCGAUGAAAAGUUAAAUAGAUAAUAUAUGAUCAAAGUUAUCGAAUUAAUUGAAUAACAUUGUGAUUGAUCUCUAUGCAGAUCUUCAUAAUGUCCUGAAUUUUCUUGCCUUUGGAAAGUUCCAUCGGUGAAAGCGUGUCGUCUGUCUGCAACGAUUGAUGGUGCUCCAAAGUUUCUGAUUGUCGGGGCUCGGACGGAUCGGUCGCAGGUAAGUUACCAUUUUGUAUGAGGGUUAUUUACAAUUAAAUUGUGUACAAGUCUGAAUGUCAAUCUAAAUCACGUAUCCUCUUUGGUUUGUUUUAAUAAACGUAAGAACAGAUGGCGA